UACGGAGGGGGCGAGCGUUAUUCGGAAUUAUUGGGCGUAAAGGGCGCGUAGGCGGCUUGACAAGUCAAAGGUGAAAUCCCUCGGCUCAACUGAGGAACUGCCUUUGAAACUGUCUGGCUUGAGGCCGGGAGGGGGUAGCGGAAUUCCCAGUGUAGCGGUGAAAUGCGUAGAUAUUGGGAGGAACACCGAUGGCGAAGGCAGGUCUCUGGGCCACUACUGACGCUGAGAAGCGAAAGCAUGGGGAGCGAACAGG
rnacentral:rRNA from 1 species